AAAAUCCGUCGACUUUAAAAAUCGUGAGGGUUCAAGUUCCCUCUAUCCCCA
rnacentral:tRNA from 4 species